AUUGAACGCUGGCGGCAGGCCUAACACAUGCAAGUCGAGCGAGCGGCGGACGGGUGAGUAAUGUAUGGGAACCUGCCUGAUGGAGGGGGAUAACUACUGGAAACGGUGGCUAAUAACGCAUAAUAUCAGAUGUACCACGCUGGGAUUAGCUAGUAGGUGGGGUAAAGGCUCACAUAGGCGCCGAUCCCUAGCUGGUCUGAGAGGAUGAGCAGCCACACUGGAACUGAGACACGGUCCAGACUCCUACGGGAGGCAGCAGUGGGGAAUAUUGCACAAUGGGCGCAAGCCUGAUGCAGCCAUGCCGCGUGUGUGAAGAAGGUCGUCGGGUUGUAAAGCACUUUCAGCGAGGAGGCGUUACUCGCAGAAGAAGCACCGGCUAACUCCGUGCCAGCAGCCGCGGUAAUUC
rnacentral:rRNA from 1 species